rnacentral:rRNA from 1 species
UACGGAAGGCAGCAGUGGGGAAUAUUGCACAAUGGGCGAAAGCCUGAUGCAGCUAUGCCGCGUGUAUGAAGAAGGCCUUAGGGUUGUAAAGUACUUUCAUCGGGGAGGAAAAACAAAACUAAUAAUUUUAUUUCUUGACGUUACCCGAAAAAGAAGCACCGGCUAACUCCGUGCCAGCAGCCGCGGUAAUACGGGGGUGCUAGCGUUAAUCAGAAUUACUGGGCGUAAAGAGCACGUAGGUGGUUUUUUUAAAGUCAGAUGUGAAAUCCCUGGGCUUAACCUAGGAACUGCAUUUUGAAACUGAAAUACUAGAGUAUCGUAGAGGGAGGUAGAAUUCUAGGUGUAGCGGUGAAAUGCGUAGAUAUCUGGAGGAAUACCUGUGGCGAAAGCGGCCUCCUAAACGAAUACUGACACUGAGGGUGCGAAAGCGUGGGGAGCAAACAGGGAUUAGAUACC